UGGGGAAUAUUGGACAAUGGGCGCAAGCCUGAUCCAGCCAUGCCGCGUGAGUGAUGAAGGCCCUAGGGUUGUAAAGCUCUUUCGGCGGGGACGAUAAUGACGAUACCCGCAGAAGAAGCCCCGGCUAACUUCGUGCCAGCAGCCGCGGUAAUACGAAGGGGGCUAGCGUUGUUCGGGAUCACUGGGCGUAAAGGGCGCGUAGGCGGCUGUUCAAGUCGGGGGUGAAAGCCUGUGGCUCAACCACAGAAUUGCCUUCGAUACUGGACGGCUGGAGACCGGAAGAGGUCAGUGGAACUGCGAGUGUAGAGGUGAAAUUCGUAGAUAUUCGCAAGAACACCAGUGGCGAAGGCGGCUGACUGGUCCGGUGCUGACGCUGAGGCGCGAAAGCGUGGGGAGCAAACAG
rnacentral:rRNA from 1 species